CUGAAGAACUGUUAUCCCUCUGCAGUACAUGGGGGUUUGAGCUCACGUCAAUGUGCCUGACCUAAGGGCAAAUGGAGCUAAGCAGGAGGGAGAAUUAGACACUUGCCACGGCUUGGAGACAGGGUCUACUGCUCUCUGCUGAACCAGAGGAAAGAACACACUGGCUCCUGAACCUUCGCAGGAAGACAAGGCGAGGGCUGCUGGGUGCCCGUCGCUGCUCACAGCACAGAACGUCCCACUCCUCAGACUCUUUGUCCCCGUCCUAAGACUGUCCUUCACUUGGUCCAUCCAAUCCAAAAUAUGGGCAUACGAAACACACCUCAUCCUUCACACACACAACAUGCUCAACCUUCACUAGCCACGUGACUUUCUUUCUCACAUCAUCCUGAAUUUGCUUUUCUGAAAUUUACUUUUCAAUCUUCUGACUUUUCUUCAUACCUAAGAAGACUGGACAAAGUGCUUGAAAAGCAAAUGGAAACAUUUUAUGAAUAACUACGCAAAGGAAAGACAUAUAAAUAUUUUUAAAGUUUCCCUUCUACAGAAAUGAGCUUAAGUCAACACUACAGUUGCCACUAAGUGUAAGGAUUCGUGAAGGGGAAAACGACGGACUCCCUUCCCUCUGUUCUUCUCAAGUAAUGCAAAUUAGAGAAGAGACGGGGGCGGGGAGAGAAGAGGAAUGCUGAAAGGGCAUUAUGCUUUUGCUAUUUAGUAAAAGAAGUAUCAACAUGCCUUCUGAUGACUCCUGAACAUCCCUUACAAAUGAAGGAGCCACAGAGUGGGGCAACUCCAUGCCUUUAUCACUCAGCCAGCCAAGGAAGAGGAAGACAAUCAAGCCACACUUGACAAGGGACAA
rnacentral:lncRNA from 10 species